rnacentral:rRNA from 1 species
CGUGUAGGCGGUCUUUUAAGUCUGAUGUGAAAGCCCUGGGCUCAACCUGGGAAGUGCAUUGGAAACUGGAAGACUUGAGUACGGGAGAGGGUAGUGGAAUUCCCAGUGUAGGAGUGAAAUCCGUAGAUAUUGGGAGGAACACCGGUGGCGAAGGCGGCUACCUGGACCGAUACUGACGCUGAGACGCGAAAGCGUGGGGAGCAAACAGGAUUAGAUACCCUGGUAGUCCACGCCGUAAACGAUGAGUACUAGGUGUCGCGGGUAUUGACCCCUGCGGUGCCGCAGCUAACGCAUUAAGUACUCCGCCUGGGAAGUACGGUCGCAAGACUAAAA